UACAGAGGUCCCAAGCGUUGUUCGGAUUCACUGGGCGUAAAGGGUGCGUAGGCGGUCGGGUAAGUCUGGCGUGAAAUCUCCAAGCCUAACUUGGAAACUGCGUUGGAUACUAUCCGGCUCGAGGAAUGGAGGGGAGACUGGAAUACUUGGUGUAGCGGUGAAAUGCGCAGAUAUCAGGAGGAACACCGGUGGCGAAGGCGGGUCUCUGGGCCGAUAUUGACGCUGAGGAGCGAAAGCGUGGGGAGCGAACAGG
rnacentral:rRNA from 1 species